rnacentral:rRNA from 1 species
CAGUAGCCACGGUAAUACGGAGGAUCCAAGCGUUAUCCGGAAUCAUUGGGUUUAAAGGGUCCGUAGGCGGUCUUGUAAGUCAGUGGUGAAAGCCCAUCGCUCAACGGUGGAACGGCCAUUGAUACUGCAGGACUUGAAUUAUUGGGAAGUAACUAGAAUAUGUAGUGUAGCGGUGAAAUGCUUAGAGAUUACAUGGAAUACCAAUUGCGAAGGCAGGUUACUACCAAUUGAUUGACGCUGAUGGACGAAAGCGUGGGUAGCGAACAGGAUUAGAUACCCCCGUAGUCCCUGUCUCUUAUAU